GCCCCCGUAGUUCAAUGGACAGAACGCCACCCUUCUAAGGUGGAUAUGUAGGUUCGAUUCCUGCCGGGGGCA
rnacentral:tRNA from 1 species